CUAGCAUAUCAAUAAGCGGAGGAAAAGAAACUAACAAGGAUUCCCUUAGUAACUGCGAGUGAAGAGGGAAAAGCUCAAAUUUAAAAUCUGGCAGUGCUUCACUGUCCGAGUUGUAACCUAGAGAAGUGUAACCUGCGCUGGACCGUGUAUAAGUCUCCUGGAAUGGAGCAUCACAGAGGGUGAGAAUCCCGUCUUUGACAUGGACUACCAGUGCAUUGUGGUUGCGCUCUCAACGAGUCGAGUUGUUUGGGAAUGCAGCUCUAAAUGGGUGGUAAAUUCCAUCUAAAGCUAAAUAUUGGCGAGAGACCGAUAGCGAACAAGUACCGUGAGGGAAAGAUGAAAAGAACUUUGGAAAGAGAGUUAAACAGUAUGUGAAAUUGUUGAAAGGGAAACGUUUGAAGUCAGUCGCGUUGGUUGGGGAUCAGCCUGACAUUGUUGGGUGUACUUCCUGGUUGACGGGCCAACAUCAGUUUUGACUGCCAGAAAAAGGCCAAAGGAAUGUGGCACCUUUUAGGUGUGUUAUAGCCCUUGGUCGUAUAUGGUGGUUGGGACUGAGGAAAGCAGCGUGCCGAAAGGCCGGGUUUCGACCACGUUCACGCUGAGGAUGUUGGCAUAAUGGCUUUAAGCGACCCGUCUUGAAACACGGACCAAGGAGUCUAACAUGCAUGCGAGUGUUUGGGUGGAAAACCCUUACGCGUAAUGAAAGUGAAAGUUGAGAUCCCUGUCGCGGGGAGCAUCGACGCCCGGACCAGAACUUUUGGGACGGAUCUGCGGUAGAGCACGUAUGUUGGGACCCGAAAGAUGGUGAACUAUGCCUGAAUAGGGUGAAGCCAGAGGAAACUCUGGUGGAGGCUCGUAGCGAUUCUGACGUGCAAAUCGAUCGUCAAAUUUGGGUAUAGGGGCGAAAGACUAAUCGAACCAUCUAGUAGCUGGUUCCUGCAA
rnacentral:rRNA from 1 species